GACGAACGCUGGCGGCGUGCUUAACACAUGCAAGUCGAGCGGCGCGGCGAACGGGUGAGUAACGCGUGAGUAACUGCCCCCCUCUCUGGGAUAACAGUUGGAAACGGCUGCUAAUACCGGAUAGUGGGGGAUGACUCGCGUCCUAUCAGCUUGUUGGUGGGGUAGUGGCGUACCACGGCGACGGCGGGGAGCCGGCCUGAGAGGGCGACCGGCCCGAGUGGACUGGGAUACGGCCCCAACCCCGACGGGGGGCAGCAGUGGGGAAUAGUGCACCAGGGUGGAAACCCUGAUGCAGCAACGCCGCGUGCUGUAUGACGGCCUUCGGGUUGUAAACCGCUGUCAGCCAUGUCUCGGUAGUGUCAGAAGAAGCACCGGCUAACUACGUGCCAGCAGCCGCGGUAAUAC
rnacentral:rRNA from 1 species